AUGGCACUGGAAAAUAUCAUUAAUCCACAUACCCAUAAUUGAAUUUGUCCUUUGCUCAAAUCUAAAAUAAACGCUGCCUAAGAAAAGCCGAUAAUGUUCACCAUGAAUCUCCUUCGAAAUAUGGACCCUAAAGGUGCUUCAAAACAUGCACAAAGGAAAUGUUACCAAACUACUUACAAAAGUGUCCAGACAUGACAGGACAUAGCCACAGGGCUAAAUCAUAACAGAACCAGGUCAUUGUAGAGUCAAAGUGAAGGUGAACAGGAAGCGCUAGAUGUGGAACUUCCAGCAGCUGAUGGUGGGGGAUCCUUAAUACACAGAGAGCAGAUAUGGAGUCCUUGACUCUUCUGUGCAGCUGGAAUUGGCCAGAAAUGAGUCAAGCGCUCCCAACUCAGGUCCCCUCUUUCUGAACAAAC